GAGACCUGAAAGGGAGGAGCUGCACAGCCCGGGUCCUAAACAUCCUCCGGCACCCAGGAGAGGGAGGAAGAUCGGCGAUGCUUUCGGCGUGGAGAACAGGGAUGGAGCGGUCCAGGGGAGGGCAGCAUCCAUUUUUGUCAGAUUUCAGAUCUGCAUAUGCAAACUCAGCCUGGUGAUCAGCUCUCACUGUGCUGCAAGGAGGCACCUGGAGGCUGAUGAUGAUGGAGAGGCACCACAGGAGAUGGAAGAGCUGUUGGCUGUUUUAAAACUGUCUGACAAAGACCUGCAGGAGCAUUUAACAGCAAAAGGAAUCCCAGAAUCCCAAGAGGGGUCAGGUUGGAAGGUCACAAUAGAUCAACUGUGCAGCCUCCCUGCUCCAACAGGGCCAUCCCAGGGCACAGGGUUGUGUCCAGAUAAUUCUGGAAUAUCCCCACUGAAAGAGACUCCACUCCCUCUCUGGACAAUCUGUUCAGUGCUUAGGAAAGUUCAUCCUCAUGUCCAGGUGGGACUUCCUGGGCAUCCAUUCCUGCCCAUUCCUGUUCUCCUGUUGCUGGGUCCCACAGAGCAGAGCCUGGUCCAUCAAUCACGUAGAGGUUCAACGUUUCCAGCAACAUCUCAUCCAAAUCAAAACAGAUUCUGUGCCCAUGAACCAAGCAGCACCAGGGAACAUACAGGCACAGGGUGAAACAGCCCCUGGCCCGGUUUUGGUGUGGGAUGAGCAAUCCCAGGACAUGGCUUGGGAAUGACCAAGACUGGGGCCCCUUCCUGGCAAACAAUUUGGAUUCAGCCACCCAGAUUUGAUAGCCAGGAGCGUUGAAUCACAGGGACUCAGGGCCAGAGCCCAGGUCUAGCAGGGUGAGUUUACAGCAGAGGUGUUGCUCCCAAGGCUGGAUGUCUGUCUGUCUGUCUGUCUGUCUGCCUGUCUCCUCGCAGGAACAGACCACACACUGUCACCCGCUCCUUCUUCUGUAAAUGUUUAUUUUUAAUUCGGUUGCGUAAUGGAUUUCAAAUGAGCUGCCGUAAGAUAGCAGUGAGAGGCUGCAGCCACAUCCCUCUGAAGCCAGUCCGUGGGUUUGAAUGUUUUUUUUGGCCUGGAUUUAUCUUGGAUAAGUUGUGUUCAUCAAAAAAAACACUGGUGGGGAGCUGCUGAAGAAGAGUGAUGCUCCCACUGGUGAUGCUCUAACACCAGCCACCUGCAAUGGACACCUGAAAUUAGGUGUGAUCAGUCAAAAUAAACCUGUGCAACACCAGCACUGUCCACA